UUGUCUCUUUGUUUCCAGGCGGUGUCAAGGCCGAUUUUAACAUCUUUUUCCAUCCACUCACCGUUUCGGCUGCAACUGACGGAGCCGCUUCAUCUUACCAACUCCGACAUUGUUUCGGUUACCGUCAGCCCGAAGGAACCAGCCCGAAGACCCAUUGAAGAUGUUGCUCACCAUCAUACAUGUCCUGAUCCUGUGGACCAUCUUUCCAGCUACAAGUCCCUGGAUCGUCCCCCAGCCCAAGAAAAACGUAUGGAGAACUCUUGCUGACGCCCUCGGCCAAGACCAUCUGUGCCUUACCACGACCUCGGCAGCCGACCCUCUCUCCACUUGCCUUGUGGGGAUCCCGGUUUCUCUAGCUGGCCUCCCUGAACCCCUACAUACAUCCCUCACCUCUUUCGAUAAUAAAAUUCAACGUACCCGUGGUUCUUCCCCAAAUGCCAGCUGGAGAAGGUUCUUGACAGAGUUAAACAUCAGUAAGUCAGAACCUCAGGAAUUUAAGUUGUUAGGCUCCUCCGCGGCCGAUUUAUGUUUUCAGUUUUUGCCAUUCCCUGAACCCGGUGCGGAAAAGUCCGCUUAUCAUCCUGGACUUGAAUACAAAGCAGAAAAUUGGUGCAAUUCAGUUGUUGAAAUUUCUAUGUCCAUUACCCCUUGGAGACAACCCCGCUCCAUCCCAAAAGGAUUUUUCAUGAUUUGCGGAGACAGAGCCUGGGCUGGCAUCCCCUCUUCUUUUGUAGGAGGUCCAUGUACAUUCGGCAGGAUGUCGCUGUUUAGCCCCAACAAAACUCAAAUUUCUAAUUGGCAAAGAAUGAAAGUCGCAAACAAUUCGGUGAGAGUCCCUCGGGACCUAAAAGAAUUAGAUUCCACCUGCGACUCCGAAAUUAUCCAUUGGUCGCAACCUGAAAGUGUGGCAUGGACCAUCUUUUUGCCUUGGGUUUCCAUUGCCAAAUCUCUAGGUGAAUUGGCCCACCUAGAGUGUUGGGUUGCAAAACAAGCAAAUUUUACAUCCUCAGCCUUAAGUGAACUCCUACAAGAUGAAGAAAUCACAAGGCAAGCAACCUUGCAGAAUCGUGCGGCAAUUGAUUACCUAUUACUGUUGCAUGACCACCACUGCGAGGAGUUUGAGGGACUGUGCUGCCUGAAUUUGUCAUCGCGUGCUGAAAAUGUCAGGACCUCCAUCAAGAACAUUCAAGACAUGGUCCACAAAGUUAAACAAAAGACGGUUGAUUGGCUGGGGGACCUUUUUGAAGGAUGGGGUCUAUCGGGCUGGGCAGCUUCUGUCUUAAAAAGUGUUUUAUUAAUAUUGUUUGUAAUUUUAAUAGUCAUUGUUUCAGUUUCAUUAGUUUGGACCAUCUUAAAGAGACUUUUAAUCAAGCUAACCUCCACUGCCUCCGUCAACCGAGUCGCCUUCGUAGAAGAAGAAAAUCAUCAAAACAUCAACGAUUAUGAAGAUAUGCAAGUUUCCGCGGACCCUCAAGAGUUAAUUAAAUCAGACUCCUCGUCGGAGGACAGCGUUUAAUUUCCUACAUCCCCCUCCUCCCUCUUUUGAUUUUUUAAACAAAAAAGGGGGAGAUGUAGUGGUCUGCUAAUUUUUCAAAAUUUUGUAUUAUGUUAAGUUGUAUAUUGGUUAUCAUAGUUCUGUAGGUUAUGCUCCGGUCCUCUCUCUCUCUCCUUCUCCAGGGGCCCUUGAUCGCCCUGUCUGUCUCCCUGUUCUCCUCCCCUUUCCCCUCCCAGUUCUUUAAUGUUACAAUGUUUACCCUGCCCUGAGCCCUUGUCCGUCACAGGGAACCACCCCUUUCUUUCCAGAAGCUUCUGGGAAAAUAGUUCUGUGAUUGGUUCAAGGGCCAGGGCCACUCCCUAGGAAUGCCCCCAUUGGAUUCCCACGGUUGUUAGUCAUAUUUCCCCUCCCCAGUUCUCGCUUCUAAUUGGUUGUCCGGCUCUGUAUUUAAUCCCUUGUCAGGCUCGAGGUUAGUCGAGUCCUCGACAGACACCCCACCCUGCAUUAAACCUCCCUUGUUUGACACUACUGUCAGCCCUCCGUUUCUUCUUCCUCUGGCGGGUUGCAGCCACCUUACAACAUCUCCGUCUCUGCGGAUCCUCUGUCCCCAAGGCGAAAGCCUUAGGCGCCCUCCUCGGGAAAGCUUCACCUGUGGGAGAGUGCCCCCAGUGCUGCCGGCGGUGCUGGCCGAGCUAGCUGGGACAUUCCAUCAUUGAGGAAGCCAGCAGCCGCCGCUGCACCUGCCACCAGCACCUUUGCUUUUACAGACAAGGAAUGCAGUGAAGACAGGCAAAAGUUUAGGGAGGCAAGAUGGAGAAGAGCAAAUACAUGAGGCAGAGUGAGAACAAAACAGCAGGAGACAAGAGUACAAGAACUGAGUUCAGUGAGUGCAGGGGCACUGGCAGCCAUUUCACUUGAGAUGCUUCUACUUGCCCACAGCAUAGCAGCAACACACAAACAAAGCUUGGCACAUGAAACCUCUCCUGUCCUGAGCCACUGUUUCCCAGACAAUCCUGCCCAAGCCCUCGGCAGCACAGAUGGGAUUGCUGACCUCCCGACUGAUGGCUGCCAUCUCCUCUUCAGACAGGUAGCUCUUGCUGAUGACAUCGCUCAGGGUGCCUCCAUCCAUGUGCUCCAUAACCAGCCAGAGGUGCUCACCCAGAAGGUAGCUGAAAAAUGUGCCUGGCCUGGUUCGCCAAUUCAAACUCAGCUGCGAACAGACCAAAGCGAUUGUGGCCACAUGUCCCCAGUGCCAAUCACAUCAAUUACCAUCACUCAGUUUGGGCACUAAUCCCUGAGGUCUAAGCAGCUGCGAGGUGUGGCAGAUGGAUGUAACACAUCAUGCAGAGUUUGGCAGACUUUCCUACAUCCACGUGUCAGUAGACACGUUCUCUAGUGCAGUCUGUGCCUCUGCCCACACAGGGGAGAAAGCAUCUGACGUCAAGAAACACCUUAUAUUCGCUUUCUCCGUGCUGGGCAUCCCAAAAGUUAUCAAAACCGAAAACGGCCCUGCGUAUAAGUCCAGGGAAUUUCGGAACUUCCUGCAGCAAUGGGGAAUAGAGCAUAAGACCGGCAUCCCAUAUUCCCCGACAGGUCAAGCUGUGGUGGAAAGGACCCAUCAGAGUCUGAAAAGAGUAGUACAUCAACAAAGUUCGACGAUGAAGAUGGAGUCCCCACAGAAACAUGAGCCCGAUGAACCCCAUCCCAGUCUCCAUCACUGUCACCUUCAUCAUCUUCUGGUCCACGCUUCUACCAUCCAACUCGUGGAUCAUUCCCCAGCCAAAACAGAAGGUGUGGAAGCUACUCGCCAAGGCCCUCGGCCAAGACCAGCUGUGUCUGACGUCCACCUCAGCAGCAGACCCCUUGUCGACCUCCCUUGUGGGGAUCCCUUUUAAUACAGAUGAGUUCCCUACCCUCCUCGAUUCCUCCCUAAAACCCCUUGCCCAGUAUAAAGUCCUGCGCUCCCCCGGCUCCAAUCCCAACCUCAUCUGGCGACGUUUUGUUUCUAAAUUAAAUAUUUCAAAAUCUGAACCUAUUGAAUUUAAGUUGCUCGGCUCCGUUGUUGCCUCCAUUUGUGUUGAGUUUAUGUCCUCCCUUGACCCCACCGGAAAACCCUAUUUCCCCGUGAUCCAACCCAAUCAUGAGUACACAGUGGGAAAUUGGUGCACCACAGUUGCCCAUAUUACCACUGCCCCAACUUUUGAUGAAUACCCUAGAUCCCUCCCCCGUGGAGUCUUUUUUAUUUGCGGAGACUGAGCGUGGGUAGGCAUCCCCUCUCGCCUGACAGGAGGCCCAUGUUCCUUUGGGAGACUGUCACUGUUUACCCCCAACAAUACCCAAAUUACCAAUUGGAAAGCUAAAGUUGUCACACAUAAUUUGGCCCGUUCUAAGAGAGACCUGAAAGACUUAGACUCACAGUGUGACCCCGAAAUUACUCAUUGGUCAAUUCCAGAAGGUGUCGCAUGGACAGUUUUUUUGCCGUGGGUGUCCAUCGCGAAGUCUCUAGGUGAAUUGGCCCACCUAGAGUGUUGGGUGGCUAAACAAGCCAAUUUAACGUCAGCCAUCCUCAGUGACCUCCUCUCAGAUGAGGAAAUAACAAGGCGGGCUACACUCCAGAAUAGCGCAGCGAUUGAUUUCCUGCUCCUAUUGCACGAUCACCGAUGCAAGGAGUUUGAGGGGCUCUGCUGCCUGAAUUUGUCAUCUAAAGCUGAGGACGCCAGGAAAUCCAUCAGCGAGAUGAGAGACUUGCUUCAUGAGAUCAAGCAGGACACAUCAGACUGGCUGGGGAACAUCUUCUCGGGAUGGGGACUCUCGGGAUGGGUUAGAUCAGUUUUAAAAACUAUACUUUUAGUUCUUUUCAUUUUGUUAGUAAUUUUAGUUGCCACUUCUAUAGUUUGGAAAAUAUUACAGAGAUUAAUUUAUAAGUUAUUCUCCCCUUGCAAGUUAACCGGGUGAUGGCUGAGGAGGAAGGAUGUGAACUAGAAGAACUAGAAGAGCAACUAGAAGGAGGAAAUCUGGAAGUAGAAGAACUGGGCGUCCAUUCCUCCCAGUCAUCUUGACCCAGAAAAUCACAGUUCUGAUUUGAACUUUAGUUAUUAAGUCUCAUAUAUUUUUCUUUUCUUUUCUUUUUAAACAAAAAAGAGGGAGAUGUUGUAUUGUGUUUGUCAUGCAUUGUUUUAUUGAGCUGUAUAUUUGUUUUGUUCCACAUACCCCUACAGUUAUUAUGGUUCUGCCCUGAUCCCCUCUCUCCCUUUGAUCGCCCCAUCUAUCUAGUAUCUCUCCUCCCCGUCUCCCCUAACAACCCAUGUAUCCUUCCCUUGUUCCCUCCCUGGUACCCUGUCCGUCACUCGGUGGCCCAACCUUUCCAUCUAGAAUCUUCCACCUAGGGCAUCGAGUGAUUGGUUCAGGGGCCAGGGCUCCUCCCCAGAUCCUCCGUUAUUGGUUUACAUACUGUGUCACUCAACAUCACCUCAUGCCUACCUGUAUUUCUAUUGGUUGUUGACCACUGUCUUUGUAUGCACCCACUCCUCCUUAAAAAACCCUUGUCAGACCCUUAGCCCUGCCUUCAGCUGGUGGAUUCCCCUGGUGCUAAUAAACUGGACUGAACUACCUCUGAAGUCCGUCUCUUGUGGAUCUCCUGUGGGUCAGCAGCUCUCACCUUUUUGCUACUGCGGGUCCUCGUCGCCCAAAGGCUGAAAGCCUUAGGCGCUCUCUAAACCCGACUUGGGAUCAGGAGAGUGCUCCAGUGCUGCAGGCAGUGCUGGCCGCAGCCUGCCGGGAUUUGGCUUGAGGUCAGCCGCCGCUGCAGUAUAGUUCCACUGUUACAGUUAGAUGGAUUUUUCUAUUGGUACACUGAUAUUUGUAUUUAUAGAUAGCAUUCUUAAGAAUAUGUUUACAUAUGUCUUACUAUAUGUCAUAUGUAACACAAUAUAUAUUUACACUGCACAUUGUUGUGGUGUAUUUACUUCUAUUGAAAUGCGUAUGGAUUUGUACAGUUCUGAAAUUAUGUUCAUUUAGUUCUAGGCCUAGGGUUAUUUAGAGAGGAAAAUUGAUAUUCCUCUGUUUGUAUAUGGGCUGUUCAGUUGUAGUAAUUUGUAAUAAAUUUAAUUGUUAAGCUUUGAUUGAUAUUUGUUUCUAAUUAGUGUUUGUAGAGGUUUCAGUACAUUAGGUUUUUUUAACUGUAUUUGAUAUUUGUAUAUAUUUACAUUGCAUGAUAGUAGGAAAAAAUUUGUGUUGCAACCUUAAAUUGAUAUUUGUAUGUUGACAUCGCCAGUGUAACAAUUUAUAAAAAAAUUAUUUUUGUGUAUUUAUUUAGUGUUGCAGCGCUGCAGGGUGGUAGAAAUGCUGCAACCUUCUUGGAGGCGUCUCCUUCAGAAGCCGCUCUGAGGAAGGCCACGAGAACAGCCAUUUCCAGUCCAUGCACACACACACACCACAGACAGCUCAGCGCAGGAAAGACAGGAAGGGUCUUUGCAUGGCAUAGUCCAGCAAGGGUUUUACUGCAUCCAGCACACCAGAGGGACCAGAGACAAAAGACCAAACCAUGUGGUCUGCAGGACUUCAGUGUGGGGUCAGUGACCAAUGACCUGAGGGCACAGGGGCGGGCACAGGGCAGGGCCAAGGGCAGCAACCUGUAGGG